CUCGGCAAAAUCCCAAUGGCCCACCAGGGCAUAUUGGAACACGGGCCUCGACUGUUUACCAAAAACAUAGCCCUCGGCUAAUAUGAAAAUAGAUGUAUAGAGGGUGAUGCCUGCCCAAUGGUUGUAUCUAAAAGCGGUUGAUAAAAGUCGACCUCGUAAGGACAAUUGAAUGGCCGCGGUAACACUGACCGUGAUAAUGUAGCGUAAUCAAUAGCCAAUUAAUUGUUGGCCAGUAUGAAUGGCGCCACGAAGGCCCCACUGUCUUAAGGAAAUUCCCAGUGAAAUUGAAUUCGUAGUGAAGAUGCUACGUCCAAUUUGUUAGACGAAAAGACCCCGUUGAGCUUUACUGGAGCACUUAUAUGGCCCCGGCCUUCCCAUGCCUGGGAACCGGCCGAAUUUAAAUGGGCGGCUUAGAUUAUGUGGCAGCCCCCCGCUGGGGCAAAUGAAACACCACUCCCCCAUGUCAAAGGGGCUAACCCCCCCCUUGGGGGGGACAGUGUAAGUAGGACAGUUUGGUUGGGGCGACCGCCUUUUAAAAAGUAACGAAGGUGCGCUUAAGGUGUGCAAUUAAUGACUGAAGCCUGACUGCGAGGGGGGUACCCCGAGCAGACACCCCUAAGCCCGCCCGAAGGGCGGCGGUGGGGUGGGCCAUAGUGACCCGUUAAUUUAGAGUGGAAUAGUUAACGAUCAACGAAUAAAAG
rnacentral:rRNA from 1 species